rnacentral:tRNA from 1 species
UGGGCUAUCGCCAAACGGUAAGGCACUGGACUCUGACUCCAGCAUCUCUUGGUUCGAAUCCAAGUAGCCCAG